UUCAGUCUUCAAAGGUCCCUUUUUCUAUUUCCUUUCAAUUAGGUUUUAAUCCUUUGAUCCAAAUUACCAUAAAUGAGGUUUUAUUCCAUCGAGCUUCUUGACACCCAAAUUUGUAAUUCAAAUUACAAAUGCAGCACUUAAAAUCGAAUUAAAUUUCUCUUUGUCGUCAUAAACCUCACGGCCAUUUUUCGUUAAAGCCUACACAAGUAGCUGCUUCCGCACCUUAGUUUCAUAUUCAAAUUCUCACCCAUUUCCAUUUAAAGACAAGAAACUCAGAUAGAACCAAUUUCGUCGAUUGUAUAGUUGGUAGACAAAGAUCCAAGCAGGGCAAUUUCAAUGUUCUGGGUUGCUAUAAAUGCUGGGGACCAAGUUGAUAGUGCUCUGAAAGACAUGGCAGUUGUGAUGAAACAGUUCGAUUAGAUGAGGCAAUUGAGGUGAUCAAAUCUUUUCGUCAUCUCUACCUUUAUGAUUCUCAGGAGUCUCUUGACAAUGUUCUUACCAAACUUUACAAACUGAACCAAGCAGUAUCAAUGAGGCUUGAAGUAAUCAAGAAGGAAUAGCUUUUGGAUAUGACGAAGUGUGUUUGAAACGCGUGUCAUCUGGACCAGCAGCAACUUCACAGUUUUCUCCACUUUCUGUGUUCGACAAUAAUUGGAGGAAACAUAUGUAUCUUGAAAACCAAAGUGGAAGGUCUGGUUUUGCCAAUACGAUGAAGGAACAUUGGGCUAGUUCAUGAUGAUAUGUAUCUUUGCUGGUUUUGCUGGUAUGAAACAAGUACAAAUAACUAGGAAGGAAGCAAAUGAAAGGGUGGAAGAGGCAAAGAGGGAAGCGAAUGAGAAAUUAGAUGAAUUAAAAAGGCAAAUGGAGGAGAUGAAUAGACGAUGGGAAGAGAAGUUCAUCAUGAUGCUUACAACUCAAGGUCAACAAUC